rnacentral:rRNA from 1 species
UACGAAGGGUGCAAACGUUGCUCGGAAUUAUUGGGCGUAAAGCGCACGUAGGCGGCUCUGUAAGUUGGAUGUGAAAGCCCUCGGCUCAACCAAGGAAGUGCAUCCAAAACUACAGAGCUUGAGUACUUAAGAGGAUCGCGGAAUUCCUGGUGUAGCGGUGAAAUGCGCAGAUAUCAGGAGGAACACCUAUUGCGAAGGCAGCUCGCUGGGACGUAACUGACGCUGAGACGCGAAAGCGUGGGGAGCAAACAGG